UGGCCCGGCCAUAGCUGCUGGGAAACACCCGGACUCAUUUCGAACCCGGAAGUUAAGCCGGCCGCGUUGAGGGUGCCAGUGAGUUCCGAGAGGGCUCGUAGGCCUCUCAAGCCGGGGCCA
rnacentral:rRNA from 1 species